CGUUAUUCGGAAUUAUUGGGCGUAAAGGGCGCGUAGGCGGCCAUGCGUGUCUUCCGUGAAAUCCCUCGGCUUAACUGAGGACGUGCGGAAGAAACUGCAAGGCUCGAGUCCGGGAGAGGGGGGUGGAAUUCCCAGUGUAGCGGUGAAAUGCGUAGAUAUUGGGAGGAACACCGGUGGCGAAGGCGGCCCCCUGGACCGGUACUGACGCUGAGGCGCGAAAGCGUGGGUAGCAAACGGG
rnacentral:rRNA from 1 species